GGGUACUGACGCAAAGGUAGCAUAAUCAUUUGCCUUAUAAUUGAAGGCUGGAAUGAACGGUUUGACAAGAAUACACCUGUCUCUUUUAGAUUUAUUAGAAUUUUAUUUUUGGGUGAAAAAGCCUAGAUAUGAUUAAAAGACAAGAAGACCCUAUCGAGCUUUAGGAAAAUUAAUAGAGUUAAUUUAGACUAAUAUAAGUAAAAGGAAGACUAUUAAACACUUUGGUUGGGGCAACCGAGGAGUAAGCAAAGCCUCCUUUGAAUGGUAAAUCUUACUUGUAUUGAUCCAAAUUUUUUGAUCAAAGGAAUUAGUUACCGUAGGGAUAACAGCAUUAUCUUUUUUAAGAGCCCAUAUCGAAAAAAAGGUUUGUGACC
rnacentral:rRNA from 1 species